UGCAGUGCACAUGGUGGUAUGUAGUAAAGUAGGAAAUAAAAUGUAAUGAACCAAUGACAUAUCCUCUUUAAGCCAGUGCAACUUUUAAACAUCUCUUGAAAAGACCACAUGUAGUCAAGUCACUAACCAUGUCCUAAUAACUGGGUCUCAAUAUCUAGACAAUCAAUAUAUGAAGCACCACCUUUAAUAUAAAAAAACAAAAAAUAGUGAGGGUUACAACCAUUAACAUUUAAAACUGUGUUCUGUCCUUGAGCAGCUCCGCCUGGGCUUAACUUCUUACAAUAUUUUUAUACUGCCUUAUAGCAGAGUUCCAUGGACAGCCAAAUAAAAAAAAAGAGUUGUUAGCUUGCAACUCAUUACUCCUAACCCACCAAUGUGAAACAUUUGCAGGGUUUGGUAUAAUCAUCUGGUAUAGUUUGUA